AACGAACGCUGGCGGCAUGCCUAACACAUGCAAGUCGAACGAUGGUCUUCGGAUCAUAGUGGCGCACGGGUGCGUAACGCGUGGGAAUCUGCCCUUAGGUUCGGGAUAACAGUUGGAAACGACUGCUAAUACCGGAUGAUAUCGCGAGAUCAAAGAUUUAUCGCCUAGGGAUGAGCUCGCGUCGGAUUAGCUAGUUGGUGGGGUAAAGGCCUACCAAGGCGACGAUCCGUAGCUGGUCUGAGAGGAUGAUCAGCCACACUGGGACUGAGACACGGCCCAGACUCCUACGGGAGGCAGCAGUGGGGAAUAUUGGACAAUGGGCGCAAGCCUGAUCCAGCAAGGCCGCGUGAGUGAUGAAGGACUUAGGGGUGUAAAGCUCUUUUACCCGGGAUGAUAAUGACAGUACCGGGAGAAUAAGCCCCGGCUAACUUCGUGCCAGCAGCCGCGGUAA
rnacentral:rRNA from 1 species